rnacentral:rRNA from 1 species
UACAGAGGGGGCAAGCGUUGUUCGGAAUUACUGGGCGUAAAGGGCGCGUAGGCGGCCCGCUAAGUCGAACGUGAAAUCCCCGGGCUCAACCCGGGAACUGCGUCCGAUACUGGCGGGCUUGAAUCCGGGAGAGGGAUGCGGAAUUCCAGGUGUAGCGGUGAAAUGCGUAGAUAUCUGGAGGAACACCGGUGGCGAAGGCGGCAUCCUGGACCGGCAUUGACGCUGAGGCGCGGAAGCCAGGGGAGCAAACGGG